GACGAACGCUGGCGGCGUGCUUAACACAUGCAAGUCGAACGGAAAGGCCCUGCUUUUGUGGGGUGCUCGAGUGGCGAACGGGUGAGUAACACGUGAGUAACCUGCCCUUGACUUUGGGAUAACUUCAGGAAACUGGGGCUAAUACCGGAUAGGAGCUCCUGCUGCAUGGUGGGGGUUGGAAAGUUUCGGCGGUUGGGGAUGGACUCGCGGCUUAUCAGCUUGUUGGUGGGGUAGUGGCUUACCAAGGCUUUGACGGGUAGCCGGCCUGAGAGGGUGACCGGCCACAUUGGGACUGGGAUACGGCCCAGACUCCUACGGGAGGCAGCAGUGGGGAAUAUUGCACAGUGGGCGGAAGCCUGAUGCAGCAACGCCGCGUGCGGGAUGACGGCCUUCGGGUUGUAAACCGCUUUCGCCUGUGACGAAGCGUGAGUGACGGUAAUGGGUAAAGAAGCACCGGCUAACUACGUG
rnacentral:rRNA from 1 species